rfam:Oryctolagus cuniculus chromosome 13, whole genome shotgun sequence.
GCAUGGGUGGUUCAGUGGUCGAAUUCUCGCCUGCCACGCGGGAGGCCCGGGUUCGAUUCCCGGCCCAUGCA